GUCCCAGUGGCGCAGUGCAUUGAGUGCUGGACUGUGGCUCUUGAGGGCCAGGGUUCGAGUCCCAGCUCGGCCA